UUGGAGGGCAAGUCUGGUGCCAGCAGCCGCGGUAAUUCCAGCUCCAAUAGCGUAUAUUAAAGUUGUUGCAGUUAAAAAGCUCGUAGUUGAAUUUCGGAGUUUGUCGGUCGGUCGGGCUUAACUGUCCGCACUGGUGUGAUGGGUUUCUACCUUCUGAAUAACCGGCAUGCCAUUAAUUUGGUGCGCCGGGGAAGCAGGACUGUUACCUUGAAAAAAUUAGAGUGCUUAAAGCAGGCUAUCGCCUGAAUACAUUAGCAUGGAAUAAUGAAAUAGGACGGCACGGUUCUAUUUUGUUGGUUUCUAGGAUCACCGUAAUGAUUAAUAGGGAUAGUUGGGGGCAUUAGUAUUCAAUUGUCAGAGGUGAAAUUCUUGGAUUUAUUGAAGACUAACUACUGCGAAAGCAUUUGCCAAGGAUGUUUUCAUUAAUCAAGAACGAAAGUUAGGGGAUCGAAGACGAUCAGAUACCGUCGUAGUCUUAACCAUAAACUAUGCCGACUAGGGAUCGGAUGAUGUUAAUUUUUUAAUGACUCAUUCGGCGCCUUACGGGAAAC
rnacentral:rRNA from 1 species